rnacentral:pre_miRNA from 1 species
UCUUAUGGAUGAGCAAAGAAAGUGGUUUCUUUAGAUGGAAUAUACUCCUAAUGAAGAUGCUAUGAA